rnacentral:rRNA from 1 species
AACGAACGCUGGCGGCGCGUCUUAAGCAUGCAAGUCGAACGGCAGGAUUGGUGCUUGCACCGAUCCUAGAGUGGCGGACUGGUGAGUAACGCGUGGGUGACGUACCCUAAGGAUGGGGAUAGCUGGUAGAAAUAUCAGAUAAUACCGAAUAUCCUUAUUGUUGUUAGAGGACAGUAAGGAAAGGAGCCUUGGCUUCGCCUAAGGAUCGGCCCGCGUACUAUUAGCUAGUUGGUGAGGUAACGGCUCACCAAGGCGACGAUAGUUAUCCGGCCUAAGAGGGUGAACGGACACAUUGGGACUGAGAUACGGCCCAGACUCCUACGGGAGGCAGCAGCUAAGAAUAUUCCGCAAUGGAGGAAACUCUGACGGAGCGACGCCGCGUGGAUGAUGAAGGCCGGAAGGUUGUAAAAUCCUUUUAAGCAAGAAGAAUAAACUUUACAGGGAAUGGUAGAGUGGUGACGGUAUUGCUUGAAUAAGCAACGGCUAAUUACGUGCCAGCAGCCGCGGUAAUAC